UACGUAGGGUGCGAGCGUUAAUCGGAAUACUGGGCGUAAAGCGUGCGCAGGCGGUUUGUAAGACAGGCGUGAAAUCCCCGAGCUCAACUUGGGAAUUGCGCUUGUGACUGCAAGGCUAGAGUGUGUCAGAGGGGGUAGAAUCCACGUGUAGCAGUGAAAUGCGUAGAGAUGUGGAGGAAUACCGAGUGGCGAAGGCAGCCCCCUGGGACAUGACUGACGCUCAUGCACGAAAGCGUGGGGAGC
rnacentral:rRNA from 1 species